AUGGGCUUCACACAUUCUGUCUAAAUGGACUUAGACUCAGUAUUAUUUGUUAUACUGCUUUACUGACUCUAACAAACCCUAGUGGAAGGUCGCAUUAGCUAACCUCUGAGCGACCUAUGACCGGCCAAUCAAAUGCAAAACGGCCGAACCGAUUUACCCAAUCAGACAACGGCUACUAUUUAGGGUUCGGCGGGACUUACAAAAUGGAUUUUCUCUAAUCUCUCAACCUCUGCUUAAGAGGUUUCUAAUGACAUAGUUACUGUAAGCUUAUAUUUCCGAAAAAUGACAUCCUGGAAUAUUGACAAAAACACUAUUUUCAGAGACUGUUUACUCACUAUUUUGUGAAUAAUGG